rnacentral:rRNA from 1 species
CCUACGGGUGGUAGCAGUGAGGGAUAUUGGUCAAUGGGGGAAACCCUGAACCAGCAACGCCGCGUGAGGGAAGACGGUUUUCGGAUUGUAAACCUCUGUCCUCUGUGAAGAUGAUGACGGUAGCAGAGGAGGAAGCUCCGGCUAACUACGUGCCAGCAGCCGCGGUAAUACGUAGGGGGCAAGCGUUAUCCGGAUUUACUGGGUGUAAAGGGAGCGUAGACGGCUGUGCAAGUCUGAAGUGAAAGCCCGUGGCUCAACCGCGGAACUGCUUUGGAAACUGUAUAGCUUGAGUACUGGAGAGGCAGGCGGAAUUCCUAGUGUAGCGGUGAAAUGCGUAGAUAUUAGGAGGAACACCAGUGGCGAAGGCGGCCUGCUGGACAGAAACUGACGUUGAGGCUCGAAAGCGUGGGGAGCAAACAGGAUUAGAUACCCGUGUAGUC